GUGUUGUAUGAAAGGAGAGAUGGUUAGCAUUCAUUCCCCUCAAGAAGGAUGGAAGAGGUCCUAGUGACCUAUGCAACACCUAUACCAAUUAAGGGAUUAUUAUCUACAUUGUGACAUCUAAUCGUGUUUGUUUU